AACGAACGCUGGCGGCAGGCCUAACACAUGCAAGUCGAACGCUCCGCAAGGAGAGUGGCAGACGGGUGAGUAACGCGUGGGAACCUUCCCAGUGGUACGGAAUAGCUCAGGGAAACUUGAGGUAAUACCGUAUGAGCCCGAAAGGGGAAAGAUUUAUCGCCAUUGGAUGGGCCCGCGUAGGAUUAGCUAGUUGGUGAGGUAAUGGCUCACCAAGGCGACGAUCCUUAGCUGGUUUGAGAGAAUGACCAGCCACACUGGGACUGAGACACGGCCCAGACUCCUACGGGAGGCAGCAGUGGGGAAUAUUGGACAAUGGGCGCAAGCCUGAUCCAGCCAUGCCGCGUGAGUGACGAAGGCCUUAGGGUUGUAAAGCUCUUUUGGCGGGGACGAUAAUGACGGUACCCGCAGAAUAAG
rnacentral:rRNA from 1 species